CUGGACUAGUUUGAUGAUGACUCUGAUCACGAAGAUGAUCUGCGUUACUCCGGACUUACGAAUCUGAAUCAUGAACCUCGAUUCAGCAAUGUGAGACGGUGAACUUUUUACACUGAUUUACCCGGUUUACAGCCAGCGCACGAGUGGCUCGCAGACACCGUGCUGCGGCGGCAUACAUGACACUUUUCCUUUGUUCUCCACAUCAUACCUGCGGCGCUACACUUUUCUUCACUGAAAUUAAUUAUAUAAUUCUGUCAACUUCCCGGACAGUGUGAAAAUAUAAAAUUAGACAUUUCAUUUACAAAACUGCACCCUUUUUAUCCGCAAGCAACUUUCAAUGUUCAAUUUUGAACCGACUCACUUUUGCAAUGUCAUUUUUUUCUGUUCUACAGAUUAAAACGUUUCUUAACUAAGGAGAUACAAACUUACUAAGCAGGCUUCUAAAGUCUUCAUUUGCUCGACCCUCGACAAAUGCCAAGAACUUAGUGGUAGUUGGGAAAGUGCGGUAGGAAACGCAGAGGAGCGCGGAACAUGGAAUCGUCUCUUUUAGAGUGUUUAUGCCGCAAAAUAUUCUCAUUCAUAAGGGUCGUUGCACGAGUUUGCGGAAGAACAUUGAUUGUCAUUGUGGCCACGGCUAAGGACUAAGGCGCAUUGAUACGUGAGGAAGUAGAUCCGGCCGCAGGUUAAAUCCCUGUAGAAAACGCGAGGAAGCGCGCGGGGGGCGGCAGUGCGGCAUCGCGCGGAGGAGCUGGAACUAAGUGGCGGAUCUUUCGGGGGAAAGAAUGAGGGGGCGAGAACGCGACAAGCUCCACAUCCCGUCUUAACAGCAUCGUUCACCGAUGAGCUGUUGGAUCGCGUGCAAAAAUGAAGACUUCGUGCGGUACAAGAGUGCGGAACCUGCUGCGCGUGGGGCUCCUCCUCAGCGCGAGCCUGGGGGUGCGAGCUCUGCAGGGCAACAUGUGUUUUGGCUGCACGGGAGACUCCGCUUGUGCCUGCAGUGGCGUGAAAGGAGACAAGGUGAGUCUUCCGCAGGGCUGAAAGUGACUGCACUCGAGCUUUUCUAAGGGAAAUUUCCAGGAUUACGUCGUCAUUCGAGUUUUACCACGUUAAUUAUGAAUGGUGAGACCCGGGUUCCGAUGGAACUUCCUGCAGCAAGAGCCUUGAUCGAGGCUCUUGACUCUGAAUUGCUCCAGCGAAAACCUCCCCGGGUGCAUAAAAGGACGAAUAAUUGUAAGUAUCUCACGGCAGCAAAAUAAAUAAAAAUAACAAAACA
rnacentral:lncRNA from 1 species